AUUGAACGCUGGCGGCAGGCCUAACACAUGCAAGUCGAACGGUAACAGGAAACAGCUUGCUGUUUCGCUGACGAGUGGCGGACGGGUGAGUAAUGUCUGGGAAACUGCCUGAUGGAGGGGGAUAACUACCGGAAACGGUAGCUAAUACCGCAUAACGUCGCAAGACCAAAGAGGGGGACCCUCGGGCCUCUUGCCAUCGGAUGUGCCCAGAUGGGAUUAGCUUGUUGGUGGGGUAACGGCUCACCAAGGCGACGAUCCCUAGCUGGUCUGAGAGGAUGACCAGCCACACUGGAACUGAGACACGGUCCAGACUCCUACGGGAGGCAGCAGUGGGGAAUAUUGCACAAUGGGCGCAAGCCUGAUGCAGCCAUGCCGCGUGUAUGAAGAAGGCCUUCGGGUUGUAAAGUACUUUCAGCGGGGAGGAAGGGAGUAAAGUUAAUACCUUUGCUCAUUGACGUUACCCGCAGAAGAAGCACCGGCUAACUCCGUG
rnacentral:rRNA from 1 species